UACGAAGGGGGCUAGCGUUGCUCGGAAUCACUGGGCGUAAAGGGUGCGUAGGCGGGUCUUUAAGUCAGGGGUGAAAUCCUGGAGCUCAACUCCAGAACUGCCUUUGAUACUGAAGAUCUUGAGUUCGGGAGAGGUGAGUGGAACUGCGAGUGUAGAGGUGAAAUUCGUAGAUAUUCGCAAGAACACCAGUGGCGAAGGCGGCUCACUGGCCCGAUACUGACGCUGAGGCACGAAAGCGUGGGGAAGCAACAGGGA
rnacentral:rRNA from 1 species